GUGGGGAAUAUUGGACAAUGGGCGCAAGCCUGAUCCAGCCAUGCCGCGUGAGUGAUGAAGGCCUUAGGGUUGUAAAGCUCUUUUGUCCGGGACGAUAAUGACGGUACCGGAAGAAUAAGCCCCGGCUAACUUCGUGCCAGCAGCCGCGGUAAUACGAAGGGGGCUAGCGUUGCUCGGAAUCACUGGGCGUAAAGGGCGCGUAGGCGGCCAUUCAAGUCGGGGGUGAAAGCCUGUGGCUCAACCACAGAAUUGCCUUCGAUACUGUUUGGCUUGAGUAUGGCAGAGGUCAGUGGAACUGCGAGUGUAGAGGUGAAAUUCGUAGAUAUUCGCAAGAACACCAGUGGCGAAGGCGGCUGACUGGGCCAUUACUGACGCUGAGGCGCGAAAGCGUGGGGAGCAAA
rnacentral:rRNA from 1 species